GAAAUGCGAUAAGUAGUGUGAAUUGCAGAAUUCAGUGAAUCAUCGAAUCUUUGAACGCACAUUGCGCCCCUUGGUAUUCCAUGGGGCAUGCCUGUUCGAGCGUCAUUUGUACCCUCAAGCUCUGCUUGGUGUUGGGUGUUUGUCUCCCCUGGGAGACUCGCCUCAAAACAAUUGGCAGCCGGCAUAUUGGUAUCGGAGCGCAGCACAAGUCGCGCUUCUGUCCAUAGUUGUUGGCAUCCAGCAAGACCAUUUUUCACUCUUGACCUCGGAUCAGGUAGGGAUACCCGCUGAACUUAA
rnacentral:misc_RNA from 1 species